CUGAAAGCAAAAGGAGGGUGGGUGGGACAACAACAGGUAAGUGCAACUUAGAUUAAAAUGAUCCCUAGAUCUAAAAUGGCCACUACUUAUACUCCCCCUUUUAACUCCACCCCACCAUUUCCUAAGACCAAUCCCUGACCACUGACCUUUAGAUGGCCUGUUUCCUGGCAAUGUCAAGGCCCACUCCCCUUAGCUACGCUGCUCCAUGGGCUACAAUAAGCUUAGGCAGCAGUUCCUGAAAGAAAUGAAUGCUCAGUGAAUGUAUAUGCGUCAUAUCUACUGAAAACAAUAGGAGCAUCAGGAUUGGCUGAGCUGCUUCCUGGUUUCAGG